CCUGGGCUUUCCCUCUGAAAGCUCUUGAGAGAGUUCAGCAAGUGCCAGACUGGUACUGGAAGGGUGUCACAGGAAGUGGGGGGGAGUGGGAGAAGGCUCCUUCCGCUGUGUUCCCUUACACUCUUCUCUCCCAGUCAUUCGAGCCUCAAGCCUGCAUUUUCUGGGGUCUGUCAGUGAUGGAGGUGGAGAAGCCACUAUUACUGAAGUUCUAGAGAGAGCCCAAGAAGCGCUGGAGGUUCGGAGAGGUCAUGACACGUGGGGAACAGGAUGGAGCAGAGGAAGGAGAGAACUGAAUUCCCUCGGGGGACACCCUGAUGAGAAUUAAUUAGAGGUGCAGGGGCUGUGAAUCCCAGGACUGUAACCACAGAAGACACGAUCUCAGGAAGAAUGGUACCAGCCCUGCUAAAACAGCUAUGGCCACAGUUGUUGAGCAUCCAAAGGAAGGUAAGAGUCAGUUGUCUGAUGUUACUUGUAGGCCCCAACUCCGCUGUCUGCUGGACUCCCAGCAGGUUGUUUGGCUGGUAUAUGUGAACAGCAGGGUCCAAGUCAGAGACCAAGGGAUGCAGAUCCA